CCACAAUCAAUCGUCGGAGUAUUCAGCAACAAAAGCCGCCACCCAAUCUGCUGCAGUGUUCGCUUUUCGGUAGACAUAUCCGACUCGCACUGCAGCAAUUUGGUGAAGAGAGGUCCAAAUAUACCGGAUAAGUGGAUGACUCUCAUGCUGCCUGAUUGUUCCUUGAAUUCAAGAAAUAACAGUAGCAGAAUCAUCGUCCAGAAAAAUCUUUUCUCUGUGAAACUGCUUUCUGACAAAGGUGACACCUACCCAAGCGGCGUGAAGCUCUGCCGUC
rnacentral:lncRNA from 1 species